UACGUAGGGUGCGAGCGUUUGUCCGGAAUUAUUGGGCGUAAAGAGCUCGUAGGCGGUGUGUCGCGUCGGCCGUGAAAACCUGGGGCUCAACUCUGGGCGUGCGGUCGAUACGGGCAUCACUUGAGUUCGGCAGGGGAGACUGGAAUUCCUGGUGUAGCGGUGAAAUGCGCAGAUAUCAGGAGGAACACCGGUGGCGAAGGCGGGUCUCUGGGCCGAUAUUGACGCUGAGGAGCGAAAGCGUGGGGAGCAAACAGG
rnacentral:rRNA from 1 species